rnacentral:rRNA from 1 species
AUGAACGCUGGCGGCGUGGAUAAGGCAUGCAAGUCGUGUGGGUUCAGACCCACGGCGAACGAGUUAGUAACACGUAGAUAUCAACCCUAAAGUCGGGCAUAACCUCGCGAAAGCGAGACUAAUUCUCGAUAGUAUCAUCGCAAGAUGAUUAAAGUCGUAAGACGCUUUUGGAUGAGUCUGCGGCCUAUCAGCUAGUUGGUGAGGUAAUGGCUCACCAAGGCUAUGACGGGUAGGGGGAGUGAGAGCUUGGCCCCCAACGAUGGAACUGAGAUACGGUCCAUACUCCUACGGGAGGCAGCAGUCGAGAAUAUUCGGCAAUGGGCGAAAGCCUGACCGAGCGACGCCGCGUGCGGGAAGAAGGUCUUCGGAUUGUAAACCGCUUUUGCAGGGGAGGAACGUAAGUGACUGUACCCUGCGAAUAAGGGGCUCCUAACUCUGU